CUGUCCCCAGCUGCCUGGUUGGCCUGUGACUGUCCCGUGGGCCUGUGCUGCAGGGCUGGGCUUUGCCUGGCUGAGUUCGUUCCUGACGGUGGACCAUGAUGCUCUGUUCCAAAGAGAAAACGGGGAAGAUGAGAAUUGUACAUAAAAACGUGAAGGCCAAGUGCUCUGCAAAAGCGAGACCGUAACAAAGGGUUCCAGCUUUCAUGACUUCGGUGACCCAGGCACGAGCAGGCUGCUGGAACGUUCACAUUCUCUCCCCGUGGCUUUGAUUCCUGCUCAGGUUCGAAGAGAGCAGGCGCCCCAUUCGCGCUGCACGCACGGCCCUCCUCCGCCUUGUCCCGGCCAUCCACACCCCAAGCAGGUCAGAAAUGUACGUCCUCGGCAGGAUCAUCCAGGACACGGCCCCAGAGCGCCCGCCCCGCACGCGGCACACAACUCUCGGCCUCGGGGAGGCCAGGCUGCGAGCCGCACACACACCUCUGCACCCGCGUCUGUAAGGGCGGAGCAACUCGUCCGCCUGACACAAACACCACAGACAGACCUAGAGAAUCAUCCCGAGUGUCGACAAACGUUGGUCAAGAUCUUACUGCUUCUGCGAGCACAGAUACAGCUUACGUUACUGGCGCUGGCCCUCCUUGGUCUCCUUGCUACCAGCCCUCGCUGCAUCCCACAUCCUGGAUCCCAGUCCUAUCACAGAAGUUGAAACACGCCUCUGCCUUACUUCAGAUCCUACAGUAACUUUAAUUGCUCAUAAGAUACUGUCCAAACCUAUCACCCAGGCACGCCUGCCUUCCCACGUUGGCUCCUGUUCAAAGUGUUACCCUCUCUGUGAAAUCUCACCUGGUUCCUGAAGCACCCUGUCUUCCUAGCGUUGACCCCACUGUGUCCGAGCGAGCCCAACACCUGUCUCUCCUGCUGGACCGUGAACUCCUCGAUCGUAGGAAUCACACACACCUCAUGUAUGAUCAUAUUCCUGCACUUACCAGAAACUCCCAGAAGUACUUCCACUUUGACUUACUGGCGACAUCAAUGUCAAGUUACGUGCCUCUAACCUUGAGUGCCCAUUCUGUAGCUGAAUUCUUGUCUGUCAUGUACAUUCACGGCUACCAUUGAAGGGAACGGAAACUGAUGGGAGAAAUGACUUCUAUACAGGAUGACUGGGAGACACUCAUUCCUUUGUAUGAGUCCAAUUUAGAGAGCUUUUUGGCUUCACUAGGUUGGCUGGAGCCACAGGUGUUUAAAUUCAGGACGGUUCACACAUGCGGAUCAAUUUAAGCUCUUGCUCUGCCCUCCGGUAAGAGAGGCCAUCCCGCGUGAGGCACCACACACUGGCGCGUCCUCUUUCAGGCACGUGCUCCUCCCUUGUCCUCUUCCUGGUUGAAUAAAACCCUCUAUCACUGGCAUUUUUUCCAGUGUUGGUCCUCCA